AGAUUUGUUUCUGGUUCACACAGGCACCUACUGAGCCGAUCAGCUCUGCCAUCUGAUGAGUGCUCUGCAGAAACGGGAGGAGCAGAUGAAUUAGAGGCUUUGUCUGCUGCUUGUUUGAUUGUUUGUACUCUUUUCAACAUCCUGCAACUCCACCAGGGACAAGCAAAUGUGAGUCCAGCUCAGGUAUCCCCAGCCACUUCUGCCUUGUCAACAAUUGCCCAGAAGCAAC
rnacentral:lncRNA from 1 species